AAAAAAAUUAGUUUACAAAAAAACAUUAGUAUGUCAAACUGAAAAAAUCAGAUUUCUGAUAUUUUUUG
rnacentral:tRNA from 1 species